rnacentral:rRNA from 1 species
UACGUAGGUGGCAAGCGUUGUCCAGAUUUAUUGGGCGUAAAGCGCGCGCAGGCGGUCCUUUAAGUCUGAUGUGAAAUCUCGGGGCUCAACCCCGAGCGGUCAUUGGAAACUGGGAGACUUGAGUGCAGAAGAGAAGAGCGGAAUUCCACGUGUAGCGGUGAAAUGCGUAGAGAUGUGGAGGAACACCAGUGGCGAAGGCGGCUCUUUGGUCUGUAACUGACGCUGAGGCGCGAAAGCGUGGGGAGCGAACAGG